rnacentral:misc_RNA from 1 species
GUACAAGUUUCCUCGGCGACCAUCAGGGAAUCACUCAUUAGAGUAUCUACCGACAAUGUUAUUCUAGAUCAUAUGAAUCUAACAGACUCAAACUUCUCUGUACCUAUAUUGAUAAGUGGCCAUUGCUGUAUUCAAACUGUCGUUUUAUCCAUCAUCGAUAAGGACGGGUUUUUCGACCAAUGCAGCUUUACACUCUCUAAACAACCACUGACAAUUGUGCAAUACCACACCACAACAGAAGAACUGACAACACUCAAAGAAAUCACAUCUUCACACCCAGCUACCCAAGAUGGACAUUCGAAAGUCAUUGGAAUAUCCAUUGGAGUUAGUGUUCUUGGAGUAAUACUAAUGUCUAUCAUUGUUUGCAUAGUCAGGAAUGUCAAAGUAAGAUGUCGCCAAAAAACUCCGGUAGAGUUAUCAAACUACCGUUCUCUAGAAAGGAAAGAAAUGGAAACUACAGAAGACCUCGAAAUACAGUCUGAACGUCAGAAUUUGCUCAUUGUUGGUGUUACACCUGGAAUCAACGAAAACGAAGAUGGGAACGACAGCAAUUCAGUGAAUGUCUCCUAUUGCAAAAAGGAGGAACCCAAAACAGCUGAGAAACAAAAGAGUUCUUCAAAGUCUUCAGAUUACGUAAACGAAGAAACUGACACCAGUAGUGAAGCUGCAACUACUCAAAAGUUGCAGUCACCGAUGAAAGAUCCAGAAAAAUGUUUUGAAACAAAAGUUGUUUCAGAGUCGUCAGUUUGCCCGAACGAACAAACAAACAACGAAGAUGACACAAUAGUGAUUUCUGGCAGGCGUGGACACAAGGAAAUCCGUGAAACUGGCAUUCUAUAAAUCAGUUUUGUCGAGAGAUCUAUUCUACUUUCAACCUCUUUCCUAUAAUUUAGUUACCUGUUCAUUGACCUUAAUUCAUUAUUGUCGAUGAAUUAUUUGUUUAUUUACUUCAAAGGAAAUUACAAUUAUGUUGUUGUUUUGAUAAAGAAAUACAGUCAUGUAUGUUGAGAGAAUUAAACAUUUAUGCUAGAAAAUAAAAAGAAUGAGAAG